rnacentral:rRNA from 1 species
UACGGAGGGUGCGAGCGUUGUCCGGAAUCACUGGGCGUAAAGGGCGCGUAGGCGGCAGGCCAAGCGUGCGGUGAAAGUCCGGGGCUCAACCCCGGAUCGGCCGUGCGGACUGGUUUGCUAGAGCACUGUAGAGGCGAGUGGAAUUCCGGGUGUAGCGGUGGAAUGCGUAGAGAUCCGGAAGAACACCGGUGGCGAAGGCGGCUCACUGGCUCGGUACUGACGCUGAGGAGCGACAGCGUGGGGAGCAAACAGG